rnacentral:rRNA from 1 species
AGAGUUUGAUCAUGGCUCAGAACGAACGUUAGCGGCGCGCUUAACACAUGCAAGUCGAACGAGAAAGGGGCUUCGGCCCUGAGUACAGUGGCGCACGGGUGAGUAACACGUGGGUAAUCUACCUCUUGGUGGGGGACAACAACUCGAAAGGGUUGCUAAUACCGCAUAAGUCCACUUCGGUGGGGAAAGGCGGCUUCGGCUGUCGCCAAGAGACGAGCCCGCGGCCCAUCAGCUUGUUGGUAGGGUAACAGCCUACCAAGGCUCCGACGGGUAGCUGGUCUGAGAGGAUGAGCAGCCACACUGGAACUGAGACACGGUCCAGACUCCUACGGGAGGCAGCAGUGGGGAAUAUUGCGCAAUGGGCGAAAGCCUGACGCAGCGACGCCGCGUGGGUGAUGAAGGCCUUCGGGUCGUAAAGCCUUGUUGGAGAGGGACGAACAACCUGUGGGAAUAAUACCCCAUGGGCCUGACGGUACCUCUUCAGAAAGCACCGGCUAACUCCGUGCCAGCAGCCGCGGUAAUACGGAGGGUGCGAACGUUGUUCGGAAUUACUGGGCGUAAAGCGCGUGUAGGCGGCUUGGCAAGUCAGAUGUGAAAUCCCUUGGCUCAACCGAGGAAGUGCAUUUGAAACUGCCAGGAUAGAGUACGGGAGAGGGUUGUGGAAUUCCCGGUGUAGAGGUGAAAUUCGUAGAUAUCGGGAGGAACAUCGGUGGCGAAGGCGGCAACCUGGACCGAUACUGACGCUGAGACGCGAAAGCGUGGGGAGCAAACAGGAUUAGAUACCCUAGUAGUCC